rnacentral:rRNA from 1 species
AACCGUUAUAACCGGCGAUUUCCGAAUGGGGAAACCCAGUGUGAUUCGUCACACUAUCAUUAACUGAAUCCAUAGGUUAAUGAGGCGAACCGGGGGAACUGAAACAUCUAAGUACCCCGAGGAAAAGAAAUCAACCGAGAUUCCCCCAGUAGCGGCGAGCGAACGGGGAGGAGCCCAGAGCCUGAAUCAGUGUGUGUGUUAGUGGAAGCGUCUGGAAAGGCGCGCGAUACAGGGUGACAGCCCCGUACACAAAAAUGCACAUGCUGUGAGCUCGAUGAGUAGGGCGGGACACGUGGUAUCCUGUCUGAAUAUGGGGGGACCAUCCUCCAAGGCUAAAUACUCCUGACUGACCGAUAGUGAACCAGUACCGUGAGGGAAAGGCGAAAAGAACCCCGGCGAGGGGAGUGAAAAAGAACCUGAAACCGUGUACGUACAAGCAGUGGGAGCACAGAGCAAUCUGUGUGACUGCGUACCUUUUGUAUAAUGGGUCAGCGACUUAUAUUCUGUAGCAAGGUUAACCGAAUAGGGGAGCCGAAGGGAAACCGAGUCUUAACUGGGCGUUAAGUUGCAGGGUAUAGACCCGAAACCCGGUGAUCUAGCCAUGGGCAGGUUGAAGGUUGGGUAACACUAACUGGAGGACCGAACCGACUAAUGUUGAAAAAUUAGCGGAUGACUUGUGGCUGGGGGUGAAAGGCCAAUCAAACCGGGAGAUAGCUGGUUCUCCCCGAAAGCUAUUUAGGUAGCGCCUCGUGAAUUCAUCUCCGGGGGUAGAGCACUGUUUCGGCAAGGGGGUCAUCCCGACUUACCAACCCGAUGCAAACUGCGAAUACCGGAGAAUGUUAUCACGGGAGACACACGGCGGGUGCUAACGUCCGUCGUGAAGAGGGAAACAACCCAGACCGCCAGCUAAGGUCCCAAAGUCAUGGUUAAGUGGGAAACGAUGUGGGAAGGCCCAGACAGCCAGGAUGUUGGCUUAGAAGCAGCCAUCAUUUAAAGAAAGCGUAAUAGCUCACUGGUCGAGUCGGCCUGCGCGGAAGAUGUAACGGGGCUAAACCAUGCACCGAAGCUGCGGCAGCGACACUAUGUGUUGUUGGGUAGGGGAGCGUUCUGUAAGCCUGUGAAGGUGUGCUGUGAGGCAUGCUGGAGGUAUCAGAAGUGCGAAUGCUGACAUAAGUAACGAUAAAGCGGGUGAAAAGCCCGCUCGCCGGAAGACCAAGGGUUCCUGUCCAACGUUAAUCGGGGCAGGGUGAGUCGACCCCUAAGGCGAGGCCGAAAGGCGUAGUCGAUGGGAAACAGGUUAAUAUUCCUGUACUUGGUGUUACUGCGAAGGGGGGACGGAGAAGGCUAUGUUGGCCGGGCGACGGUUGUCCCGGUUUAAGCGUGUAGGCUGGUUUUCCAGGCAAAUCCGGAAAAUCAAGGCUGAGGCGUGAUGACGAGGCACUACGGUGCUGAAGCAACAAAUGCCCUGCUUCCAGGAAAAGCCUCUAAGCAUCAGGUAACAUCAAAUCGUACCCCAAACCGACACAGGUGGUCAGGUAGAGAAUACCAAGGCGCUUGAGAGAACUCGGGUGAAGGAACUAGGCAAAAUGGUGCCGUAACUUCGGGAGAAGGCACGCUGAUAUGUAGGUGAAGCGACUUGCUCGUGGAGCUGAAAUCAGUCGAAGAUACCAGCUGGCUGCAACUGUUUAUUAAAAACACAGCACUGUGCAAACACGAAAGUGGACGUAUACGGUGUGACGCCUGCCCGGUGC